rnacentral:rRNA from 1 species
ACGAACGCUGGCGGCAUGCCUAACACAUGCAAGUCGAACGCUCCGCAAGGGGAGUGGCGAACGGGUGAGUAACGCGUGGGAACCUGCCCAGUAGUUGGGGAUAACCGCGGGAAACUGCGGCUAAUACCGAAUACGCCCUUAGGGGGAAAGAUUUAUCGCUAUUGGAGGGGCCCGCGUCGGAUUAGCUAGUUGGUGAGGUAACGGCUCACCAAGGCGACGAUCCGUAGCUGGUCUGAGAGGAUGAUCAGCCACACUGGGACUUAGACACGGCCCAGACUCCUACGGGAGGCAGCAGUGGGGAAUAUUGGACAAUGGGGGCAACCCUGAUCCAGCAAUGCCGCGUGAGUGAUGAAGGCCUUAGGGUUGUAAAGCUCUUUUACCGGGGACGAUGAUGACGGUACCCGGAGAAUAAGCCCCGGCUAACUUCGU